AGAGUUUGAUCCUGGCUCANNNNNNACGCUGGCGGCGUGCUUAACACAUGCAAGUCGAACGGGNAGAAAAGAAAGAGCUUGCUCUUUUUUGGAAUCUAGUGGCAAACGGGUGAGUAACACGUAAACAACCUGCCUUCAGGAUGGGGACAACAGACGGAAACGACUGCUAAUACCGAAUACCUUCCAAUUUCCGCAUGGAGAUAGGAAGAAAGGGUGGCCUCUACUUGUAAGCUAUCGCCUGAAGAGGGGUUUGCGUCUGAUUNGCUGGUUGGUGAGGUAACGGCCCACCAAGGCGACGAUCAGUAUCCGGUCUGAGAGGAUGAUCNGCCACACUGGAANUGAGACACGGUCCAGACUCCUACGGGAGGCACCAGUGGGGAAUCUNCCGCAAUGGACUAAAGUCUGACNGAGCANGCNCNUGNACGAUGAAGUCUUCGGAUUGUAAAUUCUGUUGACCCGGGACNAAAG
rnacentral:rRNA from 1 species